GAUGAACGCUGGCGGCGUGCCUAAUACAUGCAAGUCGAGCGAACAGACGAGGAGCUUGCUCCUCUGACGUUAGCGGCGGACGGGUGAGUAACACGUGGAUAACCUACCUAUAAGACUGGGAUAACUUCGGGAAACCGGAGCUAAUAACGGAUAAUAUAUUGAACCGCAUGGUGCAAUAGUGAAAGACGGUUUUGCUGUCACUUAUAGAUGGAUCCGCGCCGCAUUAGCUAGUUGGUAAGGUAACGGCUUACCAAGGCAACGAUGCGUAGCCGACCUGAGAGGGUGAUCGGCCACACUGGAACUGAGACACGGUCCAGACUCCUACGGGAGGCAGCAGUAGGGAAUCUUCCGCAAUGGGCGAAAGCCUGACGGAGCAACGCCGCGUGAGUGAUGAAGGUCUUCGGAUCGUAAAACUCUUUUAUUAGGGAAGAACAAAUGUGUAAUUAACUAUGCACGUCUUGACGGUACCUAAUCAGAAAGCCCCGGCUAACUACGUG
rnacentral:rRNA from 1 species